rnacentral:sRNA from 1 species
UUGCCAGCUCUGGGGACAGAAAUCCUCUGUGAAUCCACAGAACAGGUACAACAUGGAUAGUGGCAGUGCAGGGAAGCGUGCGUUGCUCUCCAGAUAUGCCUCCACUGUAAAUUGGAAGGACAGCCUCUAGGGUGGGAAAAGCAACUUGUCUUACAUGUCCAUUGAGUACUUGACCUCU